rnacentral:lncRNA from 1 species
AUGCUUUUCCUCCCAGCUGCUGCUCUGUGCUGUCUGUGUUCAGCACUGGUUACCAUGGCAGCAGAACAGCUGAUUCAGGACGAUUUAACAUUGACCAGGAGAGUUGGAGAAAGUGUCUCCUUCAGCUGUGGAGGCACUCAGCAGUGCGAUCGUGACUGGAUAUACUGGUACCAGAAAAAAGAAACAGAAACAUUCAAAGUUAUUUUUGAUAUUAAUCGGAGUAACGGUAACAUAGAUAGAAGUUACUCAUCUCAUCCUCAGAUCACUGACUUCUCUUCUGUAAAUACAAAUAAAGGCUGGGAGUUAGAAAUUAAGCAAGUUAAACUCGAUCAUUCAGCCACCUACUACUGCUCCUGUGUUAAAGUUGAUACCCACAGUGAGAAAUGAUCCCUGCAGCCUGAACAAAAACCAACAGAUGAACAGAUGUCAAACAGUGUUUGUGACAGGAAGAGAGCAGUAAACCACAGCCCAGCUUCACAGAUUUCACCUCCAUCUCAGAGUCACAAACAUACUGAGCUCAGGGAGAUUUUUAUUUACUGCUGUCAGAAAUUCUAUUCUAUUUAUUUCUCUUUUGAACAGAUUUUUCAUCAUGUUUUAAGAUAGAAACAAGAGGAACAGAUGACAUUGUGGGAUUAAAGAGUUUAUUUUUUAUAUCAAAUUUCCAAAUCUAAACAAACGUAUCCUCAGUCCCACCACAGUAUUCAUUCAAAGUUAAAGAAAAACAGAUUGUGUCAAACUGACUCAAAGCCCAGAUAGAAAGAACACAUUGAAACCAUGUUAAAGUAAUAUCAGGCAAUUCCGUUGAAUCAACAUUGAAAUCUGACAUUGAUUUUCCAUCACUUUUGCACCCUCAGUUAAUAAUGAAACAAUGUUGAAAUCUUUUAUUUUCCAUAACAUAUGCACUCGUGGUUAAUGCUGAAAUAGCAAUUACAACAUGAUCAAAAAUAAACAGGACUUAAUAGGUGUUUCAAUCAAUACUAAAAGACUCCAAAUUGAUCAAUCAAUACUUAAACCUGUGAAAAAGACAAUUGUGUAUUAUCUAAAAACAGAAUUACCAUUAUAUGUUAGACAUUAUCUUUCAAUUUACCAUGUCCAUAAUAAUAUCCCUAUAAUAUUAUCAUCAGGCAUUAUUUAAUUAACAAAAUGACAAUAGACAUCUUUGCAUUAAGAAAAAAAAAAUCCUAUAAAAAUCCUAUAAAGAUGGGCAUCCUGCACUACCCUUCCAAUGGGGAGCAUAGCAGAGCCAUUUCUGCAUUCCUUAGGCGAAGGCAAACUCAGAAACUGCAUUUAACCCCACCUGCUGAGUCCGGCCAUCUAGAACAAAACCAAACACAAAAAAAGUUAAACAGAAAAAAAAGGAGAAGCUCAAUUAGAGCUUACAUUGUCAAAAGUCUUUAGCAGGGAGCAGGGCCGUGCAGAGAGGUUUAAAUGGGCAGUUGCUCAAAGUUAAAAAAGGGGCAGAUAGAACAGGCUGAAUAACAACAACUCACAUUCAUGACGAAUCUAAUAUGGAAUUGCAUCAUACUAUAUGACUGUCAUCAGGUGGGGACAAUGCAAAGCAAACGUAGCCUAUGUUUUACCUGAUGGGUACAAUGUUGCUGUUGAGGGUUUACUGCUGUUCCUGCUGCUGAUAGUGCUGGAGGGCAGGGCUGUGUUGUUUUGAGACUGUAGACAUUAAAAAGUCCAUAGGUAGCUGAUUAAACAAGUGCUUUGAGAUAAAAAUAAAAUGUAAAAAGAUUGGUGACAGCGCUUGGAACCAUAAGGCAACAGAUUUAAAAAACUGGGAAAUAAACUGAAACCAGGAUAUUAGUAGUACAAAAGACAGGGGUCAUGGUAGGGUGAGAAUGUAUUAAAAAAUUCUAUACAGACAGUGUGUGUGGGUCCUGUUAGCACCUUUUAAACAUCACAGCAUCAACUUUACAUGGGAGGGAUUAGAUUGUAGAACUGUAAAAUCUUUUUCUUUCUUUCUUUCUUUCAAAUAUUAAAAUACAACAGUAAAAAAAUAAGCCAAUAGGAGGAUGAAUCAAACAUUUUAUUAAUCAGAAAACAAAAACAACACAGGGUAUGUUUUGGAAAGAGCAGGAAGGAAUAAGAUGC